GUGGCCCCAGAGGCGGGGUUUUGAGGGCAAGAUGAGUUUUCGUGUUAUCCAACUGGCCCACAAAGUCCCGCUUUUGGGGUCAU
ensembl:miRNA MIR193B microRNA 193b